ACCUGCGGAAGGAUCAUUAUUGAAUAAACUUGGUUGGGUUGAUGCUGGCCUCUCGGGGCAUGUGCACGCCUACCGCCAUUUUUACCACCUGUGCACCUUUUGUAGACCUGGAUAUCUCUCGAGGAAACUCGGUUUGAGGACUGCUGUGCGUAAGCCAGCUUUCCUUGCAUUUCCGGUCUAUGUUUUCAUAUACCCCAUUAGAAUGUUAUAGAAUGUCAUUAAUGGGCUUCAUUGCCUUUAAAAUUAAUACAACUUUCAACAACGGAUCUCUUGGCUCUCGCAUCGAUGAAGAACGCAGCGAAAUGCGAUAAGUAAUGUGAAUUGCAGAAUUCAGUGAAUCAUCGAAUCUUUGAACGCACCUUGCGCUCCUUGGUAUUCCGAGGAGCAUGCCUGUUUGAGUGUCAUUAAAUUCUCAACCUUUCCAGUUUGUUAUGAACGGGUCAGGCUUGGAUGUGGGGGUUGCAGGCUUCUCAGAAGUCAGCUCCUCUUAAAUACAUUAGCAGUACCUUUGUGGACCAGCUUUGGUGUGAUAAUUAUCUACGCCAUGGUUGUGAAGCAGCUUUACAUGGGGUUCAGCUUCUAACAGUCCAUUGACUUGGACAAUUUUUGACAUUUUGACCUCAAAUCAGGUAGGACUACCCGCUGAACUUAAGCAUAUCAAUAAGCGGAGGAAAAGAAACUAACAAGGAUUCCCCUAGUAACUGCGAGUGAAGCGGGAAAAGCUCAAAUUUAAAAUCUGGCGGUCCUUGUGGCCGUCCGAGU
rnacentral:rRNA from 1 species